UACGGAGGGUGCAAGCGUUAUCCGGAAUCACUGGGUUUAAAGGGUGCGUAGGCGGCUUAGUAAGUCAGGAGUGAAAGCCUGCGGCUUAACCGUAGAAUUGCUUUUGAUACUGCUGAGCUUGAAUUAGGUUGAGGUUGGCGGAAUGUGACAUGUAGCGGUGAAAUGCAUAGAUAUGUCAUAGAACACCAAUUGCGAAGGCAGCUGACUAGACCUUAAUUGACGCUGAGGCACGAAAGCGUGGGGAGCGAACAGG
rnacentral:rRNA from 1 species